GAUCAGUUAGUGGCGAACGGGUGAGUAAUGCCUAGAAAUCUGCCCAUUAGCGGGGGAUAACGUGUGGAAACGCACGCUAAUACCGCAUACGCCCUACGGGGGAAAGCAGGGGACUCUUUGGAGCCUUGCACUAAUGGAUGAGCCUAGGUCAGAUUAGCUAGUUGGUGGGGUAAAGGCCUACCAAGGCGACGAUCUGUAGCGGGUCUGAGAGGAUGAUCCGCCACACUGGGACUGAGACACGGCCCAGACUCCUACGGGAGGCAGCAGUGGGGAAUAUUGGACAAUGGGGGAAACCCUGAUCCAGCCAUGCCGCGUGUGUGAAGAAGGCCUUUUGGUUGUAAAGCACUUUAAGCGAGGAGGAGGCUACCCUGACUAAUAUUCAGGAGUAGUGGACGUUACUCGCAGAAUAAGCACCGGCUAACUCUGUGCCAGCAGCCGCGGUAAUACAGAGGGUGCGAGCGUUAAUCGGAAUUACUGGGCGUAAAGCGCGCGUAGGCGGUUUAUUAAGUCGGAUGUGAAAUCCCUGAGCUUAACUUAGGAAUUGCAUUCGAUACUGGU
rnacentral:rRNA from 1 species